rnacentral:ncRNA from 1 species
AUACUUGAGGGGAGUUGACCAUAGUACGAGAGGACCUGGUUGAACGUAUCCCUAGUGUUCCGGUUGUUUCGCCAGAAGCAUAGCCGGGUAGCUACAUACGGAACCGAUAACCGCUGAAAGCAUCUAAGCGGGAAGCGGGCCCCAAGAUGAGGUAUCCCUGGACUUCGGUCCCUAAAGGCCACUUGUAGACUACGAGUUUGAUAGGCUGGGUGUGGAAGCGUGGCAACACGUGGAGCUGACCAGUACUAAUCGGCCGUGAGGCUUGACCUU